UACGUAGGGCGCAAGCGUUAUCCGGAAUUAUUGGGCGUAAAGAGCUCGUAGGCGGUUUGUCGCGUCUGCCGUGAAAGUCCGGGGCUCAACUCCGGAUCUGCGGUGGGUACGGGCAGACUAGAGUGAUGUAGGGGAGACUGGAAUUCCUGGUGUAGCGGUGAAAUGCGCAGAUAUCACUUGGAACGCCAAUGGUGAAGACAGCUCGCUGGGGGUGUCCUGACGCUGAGGCGCGAAAGCCAGGGGAGCGAACGGG
rnacentral:rRNA from 1 species